UUCGAACCGGAGUUUGAAACCAAACUUCUCCUCAGGAGCACGGGCGAGGUCUCUGGUUCAAGUCCAGGAUGGCCCA
rnacentral:tRNA from 1 species